rnacentral:rRNA from 1 species
GACGAACGCUGGCGGCGUGGAUUAGGCAUGCAAGUCGAACGGUAUCAUCCUUUCGGGGGUGAGAGAGUGGCGAACUGGUGAGUAACACGUAGGUUAUCUACCCUCAAGACGGGGACAACCCAGGGAAACUUGGGCUAAUACCGGAUGUGAGCAACUUUUAGUUGUUUGAAAGGUGGCGUAAGCUGUCGCUUGGGGAUGAGCCUGCGUCCUAUUAGUUAGUUGGUGAGGUAACGGCUCACCUAGGCAAUGAUAGGUAGGCGGCCUUAACGGGUGGUCGCCCACACUGGGAUUGAGAUACGGCCCAGACUCCUACGGGAGGCAGCAGUCGAGAAUAGUCUACAAUGGACGAAAGUCUGAUAGUGCGACGCCGCGUGAACGAAGAAUCCUUUCGGGGUGUAAAGUUCUUUUCUAUGUGAGCAGUUCCUUUUAUAUGAAGAGUAUAGGAGGCGGGAUUUAAGCAUAGGAAUAAGCAACGGCUAACUCCGUG